AAUGAAGUGCCUGAUUAAAGGGCUACCUUGAUAGGGUAAAUCAAGUAAUUUUCAUUACCUUCAUUA
rnacentral:tRNA from 1 species